ACAGCACUACACAGGUGGCAUUUUGUUUGCUCUUGAAUGCUAAUUUGAUUUUGUAGUUCUAACAUUUUGUCCUGGAAUCAUAAUGGUGCUGAAGGAGAGAGGCAGAAAGAGAAGCAGGGUGAACCUUCAAUGUACUUGCUUAAUCUAUAUGCUUGCCAAGAAUUACUUACAUAAAGGACCCUAUGACAGAGAAUUAGUGGGUGUUGAAGGUAAGUGCACAUUAAUUAGAAAAUAAUUCCAAGCUUUUCCCCCUGUGGUUUGUGAUGGGGAGUUUGGGAACACUACAGGAAACACAGGCUUUGUACAAUAUCUAAUGAAAUAAUUGCACUUAGUUUUAAGAAGCUCUUGGAAGUCUGGGAGAUGCUUAGCUCUGGAUUCAGUGAGAGAACCUGUUUCAAAAAUUAAGGUAAAGGAGCAGAGAGCCCUUUCAGAUGCUCCAGGUUCAACUCCCAGCACCCAUAUGGUGGUUGCAGCUGUCUGUAACUCAAGUUCCAAGGGAUCCAGCACCCUCUUCUGGCUUCCAUGGGAACCAGACACACAUCUAGUACACAUAAAUACAUACAGGAAAAACGCAAUAUUAAAAAAAAGAUAAUGCAGAGAGCAUUAAAGGAAGACACCUGAUAUCAACCUCUGUGGGAAGCCGUGAACAAUCGCCAUUACAAGAUGGCGCUGGCUUCCACAGUGUCUAACUAGUAAACAAGCAAUGUGCGCAGGUGCUGGAGUAAAUUCGUGCCAAGUCACUGCCCAUCCCGGGGUGUAAGAGUGAAGUGAACAGCUAAUCAAGAGCUGACACGUCACACAGAGGGGUAUUUAAGCAGCACCAUUUUCUGGGUUCGGGGUCUUCCUGAGAAGUAAGCAAUAAAGAUUUGCUGUAGAAGGAUCUGGUUGUCCAAGUGUGUUUUGCUGGCAAAAUGUUACAAGGACAAAGUGGUGCCAAAACCCGGGAAUAUAUCAUCACCAGGCGCUGAAAGGAGACUCCCUCCCCCCCCCCAACAUUUCACGGGACAGAUUCAGAACUACGGGAUAAUACAGCUCUACAAGGUAUGGCCUUAAACUUUCUCCAGCGUUAGAAGCCUUUCUGUUCCUUUUCACAGAGCUCGUUCUUUUCUUUAGAUUGUGUACAGUUUCCACAGGAGAAAUUGCUAACUAGUGUUCAGUCGAGGUCAGACAAGGUUAGAAAAAAAUGCAAGAAAAUAACAUGGGAGCCUCCCACACUGUAGUGACCGCCUUACAGUCGGUCCUGAGGCAGCGUGGCUUAAAAGUCUCCACCAAGACACCAGAAGGCUUUGUAAAAGAGAUAGAUCACAUAGCACCGUGGUUUGCGUGCUCAGGGUCCUUAACUAUCCCCUCUUGGGAGAAACUCAGGGGAAAUUUAGUUGGGGAGCAAGAGAACAACAAACUUAAAGCAAAAAUCAUGCCGUUGUGAAAGCUGAUAAGAUCAUGCUUAAAGGACGAGAAAUGUCAACAAGUAAUUAAGGCAGGGCAAAAAAUUCUAGAUAAAAUUCAAGAAAGCCUAUCAGAGACAGAGCGGGGAGAGAGAAUAGGAGCAAAAAGGGAAACAUGAUACACCAAUCAAGCAUACAGGCCUUUCCACGGGUCUUGAACC
rnacentral:lncRNA from 1 species